rnacentral:rRNA from 1 species
AAAUUGAAGAGUUUGAUCAUGGCUCAGAUUGAAUGCUGGCGGCAGGCCUAACACAUGCAAGUCGAACGGUAACAGGAAACAGCUUGCUGUUUCGCUGACGAGUGGCGGACGGGUGAGUAAUGUCUGGGAAACUGCCUGAUGGAGGGGGAUAACUACUGGAAACGGUAGCUAAUACCGCAUAACGUCGCAAGACCAAAGAGGGGGACCUUCGGGCCUCUUGCCAUCGGAUGUGCCCAGAUGGGAUUAGCUAGUAGGUGGGGUAACGGCUCACCUAGGCGACGAUCCCUAG